UACGUAGGGUGCGAGCGUUGUCCGGAUUUAUUGGGCGUAAAGAGCUCGUAGGCGGUUUGUCGCGUCGGCCGUGAAAUCUCCACGCUUAACGUGGAGCGUGCGGUCGAUACGGGCAGACUUGAGUUCGGUAGGGGAGACUGGAAUUCCUGGUGUAGCGGUGAAAUGCGCAGAUAUCAGGAGGAACACCGGUGGCGAAGGCGGUCUGCUGGGGGUAAUGCUGACACUGAUGCGCGACAGCGUGGGGAGCAAACAGG
rnacentral:rRNA from 1 species